rnacentral:rRNA from 1 species
GGUUAAGCGACUAAGCGUACACGGUGGAUGCCCUGGCAGUCAGAGGCGAUGAAGGACGUGCUAAUCUGCGAUAAGCGUCGGUAAGGUGAUAUGAACCGUUAUAACCGGCGAUUUCCGAAUGGGGAAACCCAGUGUGAUUCGUCACACUAUCAUUAACUGAAUCCAUAGGUUAAUGAGGCGAACCGGGGGAACUGAAACAUCUAAGUACCCCGAGGAAAAGAAAUCAACCGAGAUUCCCCCAGUAGCGGCGAGCGAACGGGGAGCAGCCCAGAGCCUGAAUCAGUGUGUGUGUUAGUGGAAGCGUCUGGAAAGGCGCGCGAUACAGGGUGACAGCCCCGUACACAAAAAUGCACAUACUGUGAGCUCGAUGAGUAGGGCGGGACACGUGGUAUCCUGUCUGAAUAUGGGGGGACCAUCCUCCAAGGCUAAAUACUCCUGACUGACCGAUAGUGAACCAGUACCGUGAGGGAAAGGCGAAAAGAACCCCGGCGAGGGGAGUGAAAAAGAACCUGAAACCGUGUACGUACAAGCAGUGGGAGCACGCUUAGGCGUGUGACUGCGUACCUUUUGUAUAAUGGGUCAGCGACUUAUAUUCUGUAGCAAGGUUAACCGAAUAGGGGAGCCGAAGGGAAACCGAGUCUUAACUGGGCGUUAAGUUGCAGGGUAUAGACCCGAAACCCGGUGAUCUAGCCAUGGGCAGGUUGAAGGUUGGGUAACACUAACUGGAGGACCGAACCGACUAAUGUUGAAAAAUUAGCGGAUGACUUGUGGCUGGGGGUGAAAGGCCAAUCAAACCGGGAGAUAGCUGGUUCUCCCCGAAAGCUAUUUAGGUAGCGCCUCGUGAAUUCAUCUCCGGGGGUAGAGCACUGUUUCGGCAAGGGGGUCAUCCCGACUUACCAACCCGAUGCAAACUGCGAAUACCGGAGAAUGUUAUCACGGGAGACACACGGCGGGUGCUAACGUCCGUCGUGAAGAGGGAAACAACCCAGACCGCCAGCUAAGGUCCCAAAGUCAUGGUUAAGUGGGAAACGAUGUGGGAAGGCCCAGACAGCCAGGAUGUUGGCUUAGAAGCAGCCAUCAUUUAAAGAAAGCGUAAUAGCUCACUGGUCGAGUCGGCCUGCGCGGAAGAUGUAACGGGGCUAAACCAUGCACCGAAGCUGCGGCAGCGACGCUGAUGCGUUGUUGGGUAGGGGAGCGUUCUGUAAGCCUGUGAAGGUGUGCUGUGAGGCAUGCUGGAGGUAUCAGAAGUGCGAAUGCUGACAUAAGUAACGAUAAAGCGGGUGAAAAGCCCGCUCGCCGGAAGACCAAGGGUUCCUGUCCAACGUUAAUCGGGGCAGGGUGAGUCGACCCCUAAGGCGAGGCCGAAAGGCGUAGUCGAUGGGAAACAGGUUAAUAUUCCUGUACUUGGUGUUACUGCGAAGGGGGGACGGAGAAGGCUAUGUUGGCCGGGCGACGGUUGUCCCGGUUUAAGCGUGUAGGCUGGUUUUCCAGGCAAAUCCGGAAAAUCAAGGCUGAGGCGUGAUGACGAGGCACUACGGUGCUGAAGCAACAAAUGCCCUGCUUCCAGGAAAAGCCUCUAAGCAUCAGGUAACAUCAAAUCGUACCCCAAACCGACACAGGUGGUCAGGUAGAGAAUACCAAGGCGCUUGAGAGAACUCGGGUGAAGGAACUAGGCAAAAUGGUGCCGUAACUUCGGGAGAAGGCACGCUGAUAUGUAGGUGAAGCGACUUGCUCGUGGAGCUGAAAUCAGUCGAAGAUACCAGCUGGCUGCAACUGUUUAUUAAAAACACAGCACUGUGCAAACACGAAAGUGGACGUAUACGGUGUGACGCCUGCCCGGUGCCGGAAGGUUAAUUGAUGGGGUCAGCGCAAGCGAAGCUCUUGAUCGAAGCCCCGGUAAACGGCGGCCGUAACUAUAACGGUCCUAAGGUAGCGAAAUUCCUUGUCGGGUAAGUUCCGACCUGCACGAAUGGCGUAAUGAUGGCCAGGCUGUCUCCACCCGAGACUCAGUGAAAUUGAACUCGCUGUGAAGAUGCAGUGUACCCGCGGCAAGACGGAAAGACCCCGUGAACCUUUACUAUAGCUUGACACUGAACAUUGAGCCUUGAUGUGUAGGAUAGGUGGGAGGCUUUGAAGUGUGGACGCCAGUCUGCAUGGAGCCGACCUUGAAAUACCACCCUUUAAUGUUUGAUGUUCUAACGUUGACCCGUGAUCCGGGUUGCGGACAGUGUCUGGUGGGUAGUUUGACUGGGGCGGUCUCCUCCUAAAGAGUAACGGAGGAGCACGAAGGUUGGCUAAUCCUGGUCGGACAUCAGGAGGUUAGUGCAAUGGCAUAAGCCAGCUUGACUGCGAGCGUGACGGCGCGAGCAGGUGCGAAAGCAGGUCAUAGUGAUCCGGUGGUUCUGAAUGGAAGGGCCAUCGCUCAACGGAUAAAAGGUACUCCGGGGAUAACAGGCUGAUACCGCCCAAGAGUUCAUAUCGACGGCGGUGUUUGGCACCUCGAUGUCGGCUCAUCACAUCCUGGGGCUGAAGUAGGUCCCAAGGGUAUGGCUGUUCGCCAUUUAAAGUGGUACGCGAGCUGGGUUUAGAACGUCGUGAGACAGUUCGGUCCCUAUCUGCCGUGGGCGCUGGAGAACUGAGGGGGGCUGCUCCUAGUACGAGAGGACCGGAGUGGACGCAUCACUGGUGUUCGGGUUGUCAUGCCAAUGGCACUGCCCGGUAGCUAAAUGCGGAAGAGAUAAGUGCUGAAAGCAUCUAAGCACGAAACUUGCCCCGAGAUGAGUUCUCCCUGACUCCUUGAGAGUCCUGAAGGAACGUUGAAGACGACGACGUUGAUAGGCCGGGUGUGUAAGCGCAGCGAUGCGUUGAGCUAACCGGUACUAAUGAACCGUGAGGCUUAACCUUAC